rnacentral:lncRNA from 1 species
GGGGGUCUGGGGGCUGGAAUGGUGAGGGACAGGGAAGGAAACAGUGGAUGGUGGAAUAAUGGGAGGGUCAAGGUGAGGGGAAGGAAGGCGUAUGGCCUGGUCCCGAGGGGCAGGAAAGGGGUUCGUGGUGCGGUUCUGACGUGUGACCCCAUCCACAGGAGAAUGGACACCUCAGACUCUCCCAUCCCUGGCCAUUGGCGUGGCCCAGGAGCUGCCUUCCCUGGCUGUGCUCGAGGCUCACUGGAGGGAACUUCGUUUUCAUUGUGGGAAAUUUUUAAAAAGUCUCUUACAGAUUUCAGUGAGUUCAAAGCCGCCCGUGCGCAGACGUAGGUCCGUUCUUCACCUAGCUUCACUCUAGCCUGCCGAAAGGAAAUGGUAAUAGAGCUGGAAAAGGUGUCCUGGGGUUGAUUAGAGGAUUUUCCGUUUCAUCUUGGAAAGGGAUAUUGACGGGAGGCCAGAACUUCUAGAUCCUCUUCAAUUUCAAGAAAUACUUUAAAGCCUGGACAAUAUCGGGAGGCCUUAUCUCUACAAAAUAAAAAUGGAAAAAUCAGCUGGGUGCGAUGGCACACUCCUGUGGUCCCACCUUCUCUGGAGGAUGAGGUGGGAAGAUCACGAGCUUGGGAGGCUGAGGCUGCAGUUAGCUGUGAUCGUGCCAGUGUACUGCAGCCUGGGUGACAGAGCAAGACGCUGAAAAAAGAAAAAGAAGGGAAGGAGGGGAGGGAGGGAGGGAGGAAGGAAGGAAGGAAGUAAACAAAUGGCUCAGGCUCAGAGAGCUGUGUGUGGCCCCCAGCUCCCACCCCCACCAAAGGGCCUGCAAACCCACAGGGGGGCAGGUUGUCUUUAGCUGGAACCACAGGGACGGGGGGCCCUGAACUGUAGGGGUUGGGGUUAGGGUUAGGCUUUGAGGUUUGGGGUUAUAGAAUAUAGAUGGGUUUGGUCCUGGGAAAAUUCCAGGUCUGGGUUUUGUGGUCGGGGGUUGGUCUCCGGUGAGAUGCGACAUGUUUACAGGGUUUGUGAGGUAUGUACAGAUGUGUACGGUGCUGUUGUUGGAAUGUGUUCUCCAGAUUUCAUGUGUUGGCAAUUUUGUGUUCUUUUUUUUUUGAGAUGGUGUCUCGCCCUGGCAUCUGUCACCCAGGCUGGAGUGCAAUAGUGUGAUCUCAGCUCACUGCAGCCUCUGCCUCCCAGGUUCAAGCCAUUCUCAUACCUCAGCCUCCCAGUGGCUGGCAUUGUAGCAGGACAAGCCAGAGACAAAAUUCCUCAGACACCAGGUUAAAGAAGGAAGGGCUGUAUUCGGCCAGGAGCACUGACAGACUUGCAUCUUAAGAGCUGAGCUCCCCAAAAAGGAAAUUCCUGGUGCUUUUAAGGGCUUACGACUCUAAGGGGUUCACGUGAAAGCAUUGCGAUAGCUUAAGCAAGUGCGGGGAACGUGACGGGGGGCUGCAUGCAUCAGAUAACAGACCAGAGAGUUUUACGGUGCUUCCUCAUAUGAUGUCUGGAAUUUACAGAUAACACAAGUAGGUUAGGUCAGGGGUUAAUAUGAUUAUUAUUAUUAUUUUCAACCACCAGGGCUGGGUGGUGGCCUCAUGUUCGUUUAGCUAUUUAUCUUACUUCUGUAUUUUUUUUUAAACGUUUUGCUUUCUCCCUUUUUCCUUGUUUUAUAAACUAGGAAAGUGGGGGUGGGGAAGGGCAGGGCAGCAGGAGAACUGGUGGUCUCCUUCCUGAGGAUUACAGGCACCAGCCUCAUUCCUGGCUAUUUAUUUAUUUUUGUAUUUUUAGUGGAGAUGGGGUUUCACCAUGUUGGCCAGGCUGGUCUUGAACUCCUGGCCUCAGGUGAUCACCCUCCUCGGUCUCUCAAAGUGCUGGGAUUAAAGGG